rfam:Ictidomys tridecemlineatus contig075297, whole genome shotgun sequence.
GUGGCUGUGGCUCAGUGGUAGAGCGCUCAUCUAACAUGUGUGAGGCAAUGGGUUUGAUCCUCAGCACCACA